rfam:Cucumis sativus cultivar 9930 chromosome 7, whole genome shotgun sequence.
GCCUCUAAGGAUGAUCAAAAUAUUUAACUUUCGUUCUUCCGAGAUUCUCCAUGCGGAAACAAUUUGGAGACCUGAACUGAAGAGGC